GGAGAGGUGCCCGGAGUGGCUUAUCGGGGACCGCGGUGCGCGGUCGGGCCCAGGCCCGCGCAGGUUCGAAUCCUGCCCUCUCCG
rfam:Streptomyces albireticuli strain MDJK11, complete genome.